rnacentral:lncRNA from 1 species
UCAAGGGAUUUAAUCAUCACAAAACAGAACUAAACACUCUUUUAUGCUCUCCAUUUAUUUCCAACACACAAAGUCGAUUUUCUAACAAAUUUCUCAAUAUACACUCGACUUUAUACUUUUUUUUUUUCUUUUUCUUUUUUUUUUUUCUUUUUUCUUUCUUUUUUUUUCUUUUUUUUUCACAACUUUUCUAGAGCUUAUAAGAGUAAAUAGUAUCUCAAUAUCAUCCCUUCUUUUUCACAACCCACUAUGAAUAUUCACCACACGAAGAUCCCCAUAUACUUCAUCACCCCCUAUCAUCCGGCUAAAGAAUAAAAGCUAAAUAGGCUCAAAGUGGAUAACAAAGGAUAAUUUUUUUUUCAAGGAUAGUGUUUGGGAAAAAUUGUGGCUAACAAAAGAUGGCCUAAAAUCAUCUCAUAAUCCUGGGCACAACAGCAACCUCAACACAGAAACCAUGGCAAGUUCUAGAAGAUCACCACAUGCAUGACAAAACUCACAACAAAGAAUAAACUGUGUAUGAUAAACAGUUAUGGCUCAAAAUCUCACAGGUUUAUUCAACGUCUAAAAGUCAAGGUUAAAAUCACUCUAGAAUUAUGCAAAUUAGUUCCAAUUAUGCUUAAAUCAUCAAAGAAAAUCAAACUCCAAAUUUUUUUUCACAGAAAUCAUCAUUGGCAUCUCACCAGAAAUCUAAUGGAGCAAUAAUCAUCUCAAAAACAAAACAAACACACACCACCAACCAAGCAGGAUAAAACAAUAAAGCCAACAAAAAGAUAAAAGUGAUACACAUAUCUACUCUCACCCCCCUCCCCCAAACUUAUUACAGAACAUAAGUUCGAAAAUAAGUUUGGAGGGAUGAUGAUAUGUGUGUCACUACUCACAGAAACACAUGCUCCACGGUGGUGAUAUGAACAAGGCGCGAGUUCCCGCAUCUUCCAAGCUCAACACUGCACUAAAACCCCAAAACAAAGAAACAAAGAAACAAAAGAAAACAAAAAGAAACUAAACGAAAGGAAAACAAAACAAAGAAAAACGGUUGGGUUACCUCCCAACAAGUGCUUAAUUUAACGUCUAGAGCUCGACGAUACCUCAAAAACUCAUGGAGGUCGGAAACAACACUCUAACCAUUGGAAAGCUUUUCUACUCUUGGGUGCUCUCUCCACCAAAACACUUCUCUUGGCUCGGACAUCCUCCACAAGCAUUGCCCCCUUCUCAUUCUUGUUCCGAAAAAUCUGGAAUUUCACUUUCUUCUUCUUGGGGGUAUGGGUUUUCAAAGACCCCCCAUCAUGCUCCAAAAACAAACACAUCUCAAAAGUCAGAACUUCUUUUGGUUUUGGAGUUUUUUUCUUGGCUUCAUACUUGGGCAGCUCAUUCUUCUCAACCUCUUCAUCCUCCGAAUUUGCUAGAAACUGUCAGCCAAAUUUAUCACUUCAUUCUGGGGAACUUCCUUUGGUGGAGGUUUCUGAAAUCACAGUUUCCCCAUAGGCUCCCAAUGUCAUCGUCCCCCUUUGUAUAUCUAGCUUUGCUUCCACAAGUGGCAAGGAAAGGUCUCCCUAACAGCAAAGGCAUCUUGGAUCCUCCGGAUAUCCAACACUACAAGUCGACUGGGAAGAAAAAUCACUCACCUUCACAAGCACAUNCUUUCUUCUUCUUGGGAGUAUGGGUUUUCAAAGACCCCCAUCAUGCUCCCAAAACAAACACAUCUCAAACGUCAGAACUUCUUUUGGUUGUGGAGUCUUUUUCUUGGCUUCAUACUUGGGCAGCUCAUUCUUCUCAACCUCUUCAUCCUCCGAAUUUGCUAGAAAACUGUCAGCCAAAUUAACCACUUCAUUCUGGGGAACUUCCUUUGGUGGAGGUUUCUUGAAAAUCAUAGUUUCCCAUAGGCUCCCAAAGUCAUCGUCCCCCUUUGCAUAUCUAGCUUUGCUCCACAUGUGGCAAGGAAAGGUCUCCCUAACAGCAAAGGCAUCUUUGGAUCCUCCGGAAUAUCCAACACUACAAAGUCGACUGGGAAGAAAAAAUCACUCACCUUCACAAGCACAUCUUCCGCAACUCCUAGAGGUUUAGAGCAAGACUUAUCAAUAAGCUGAAUUGUCUUGUUAGUUGGCUUCAAAUCCCCCAGCUGCAACUUCCUAUACACUUUGAGAGGCAUGACAUUUAUGCUUGCUCCGGUGUCACACAUCACUUUCUCAAACAGUGACUUUCCAAUCUUCACAGGAAUAUUGAAACUGCCUGGAUCUUCUCUCUUUGGAGCCAACUGAUACUCCUUCACUGCGAGCACCUCCUCAAAUUCAUUGAAUGCUCUCUUCUUUUCCAUCACAGCCUUCACAAUUUGUACCUCAUUUGGCUUGUUUCUCAAGAUCUCCACGGAAGGAAUAUUCACAGCCAACUUCUUAAAUGUCUCCAAAAACUUCUCAUCCAUCUUCGGCUUUGCCAGGCUAUUCGGAAGGGUGCUACAGGCUUGUACUCUGGACCUGGGAACGUAGGAGUAGGAAUAGGCCCUUUAACAGCAGAAGAGCUCGAAUCCUUCUUAGGGGAGGCGUCUGUUUCGCUGCAAGCUCCUCCAAUCAUCAUCGUCUUCCUCCACUACUUUGCCUUUCCCUUGUCAUUCUGCUGCUCUUCAUCCUCAACUGAAUUAUCAACCACCCGGAUGGAAUGACAUUGCUGAUUUUGCUGAGGUUGUUGAUGUUGGCCCUUCGGAUUGAACUGAGUGUUGCUAGGAAAUUGGCCCGGCUUGUGCUGUGCAGCUGCUUGGUUAGCCAUCUGACCAACUUGAUUCUCUAACAUCUGUACCUGCUUAGAAAGUGCUGAGAAGUUAUUCUCCAUGUUAGAGAUUUUAUUUCCAACAUUCACCUCCAUUCCAGUCAUCUUUGUGAGCAUCUGCUUCAUCAUGUCCUCCAUCGAAUCCUUCUUUGGCUCAUUGAUGACUCCUCCAUUAGAAACAGAAAAUCCAGGUGGAGGCUGCAAAGCAUUGUUCGGAUUGCCGUAAGAAAGAUUCGGAUGCGGACGUGCUCCUGGCUGAAACUGCUGCUGACCCUGCUGAUAUGGCUGACCUCUGUUAUACAUCCCUGGCUGUCCUUGCUGAAAAUUCCCAUAAUUUCUGUCAUUGAUAUAAUUGACGUUUCCCAAGCCUGAUGGGUCUAUCACAGCUUGCUCAUGACGUCCAGCAUUCAAUUCACCAAUUUUUGCAGUCAGCUCUGCCAGCUGUGUAGCCAUCGCUGCUUGUUGAGUAACCAUAGCUGCCAUAGGAUCAGAAGUGGACGCAGCUGCAACCUUCUUCAAUUGCAUACGCUCAGAUGGCCAUUGGUAGCUCGUAGAAGCCAUACUAUCAAUAAUGCUCCAUGCAUCAGAGCUGCUUUUCUGGAGUAGAGAGCCACCUGCAGCUGUAUCCAUAUGCAUCCUUGUACGCUCCCCGCAGGCAUUGUAGAACAUGAUCACUAGCGUACCUUCAUCAAAACCAUGACUUGGGCACCUUCUGAGCUUCUCCUGGUAUCGCUCCCACGUCUCCGCUAGCUUCUCUCCCUCGAACUGUUGAAACUGCACGAUGUCCAUCUUCAAUUUCAACGUAAGGCCAGGCGGAUGAAAUUUUCGCAGGAACGCAUGAGCUAAAUCCUCCCACACGAUAUUAUCUCCCAGCUGCAGCGUAUGAUACCACGACUUCGCCUUAUCCCGCAGUGAGAAGGGAAAAAGACGAAGACGGAUAAUGUCAUCAGGGACACCAUUCAUCUUCACCGUGCUACACAGCUCCAGGAAAUGCGCCAGGUGCGCAUUAGGAUCUUCGAUCGCUUGUCCACCAUAUUGGCUCUGUUGGACCAUUGUGAUCAAUCCCGUUUUCAGCUCAAAGUUGUUGACCUUUAGUGGUGGGGGCUCCUGGUACACAUACUGUGGAAUGAACGCUUCAUUUAUGGCUGGUUGUUUCUGAGCCUCUCUCGUCUCCUGUGCAUCAAGCAGCUUCUUCAACUGCUCUUGUAGAGCUCGAAUUUGGAUUUGCUCUGGAGUGUCCAUUGUAUCUGUCUCAACUUGAUCGUUCUGCUUCUUUAGAUUGCGCAAGGUCUUGUUGAUUUCAGGGUUUAACUCAAAGAGAGGAGUCCCGUGAGAUCGUGUGUUCAUAUGCAACCUACUGAAACAGCAAAAAGAUCAGAAAAUAAAAAUAAAAACAAAUAAAAACUUGCAGUACUAUUAAGUCCUAUUGGAAAUAUUAAAGCAAAAUCUAAACAGUCCCCGGCAACGGCGCCAAAAAGUUGAUCCGGGGUCAAGGUAAAAUACAGUGUUUGAAACCCAGAAGAACUCCAAAAACGCGCAAAACUGAAAAAUCCGGGUAGCCGGCGACCUGCCCGGCGACCCAUCCGGCGGUCGCCGGCCCAAGCACAAAAAUCCUUCAUCUGGCGGCGAUCGCCGCGUCUUUUCCAACGUUCCAGAAGAUCCGGCGACCCAGGCGGCGGUCGCCGGUCAGGUCGCCGGAAAUCCUUCUUCGGGCGGUGGUCAACGGUGUUUGACCGCCGGAUUCUAACUGCUGCGCGCGAUGUUUUCGUUUCGGCCAUAACUUUCUCGUCCGAACUCGGAUUUUCGAUCCGUUUGCGCUCACGAACUCGUAUCGAGACGAUCUACAACUUGUAUUUCAGCACAGUUUUCCAAAUUCGAACUCAAUAAACCUGAAAUUUCCUUCAAAGUUCGAGUAAGAAUCAUGUUUCAAAAGAUAAAGCAAAUUAAGCACAAAACAAUCAUCCAACACUUAGUUUCCUAUAAAAUUGACAUCAUAUGAACACUAAAACCAUGGAAACAUGAGUGUUAUCAACUCCCCCAAACUUAAGCCAUUGUUCGUCCUCGAAUAAUGGGAAGAAUAAAAUACAAUAACACGAAUGGGUAAGAAAUACUAGCUCAUCGAUGCCUCCGAAUAAUAAAGGAUAAUAGAAUUCUCAAAUCCUCAAUAAUUAAGCACAAAAUUCACCAAUAAACACAACUUAUAGAAAAAUCAACCUUGACAUUCCAAACAAUUGAAUCUCACAAGGUAUGUGUAUCACUCAACUCUCAAUUUGAUGGAAUAUAUAGGACGUGUAUGCUCUCAUCGAAUUCAAUGCAAUGCAGAUCUCUUACCAUAGGCUUGCCAAUCGUCUACAAUCUCCAUCGCUAAAAGUAUGCCAGGACUAAGAUCAAAUAGGUCUUUAUUUUUGGGUUAUAAUGUAGGGACAUUGGUUAAGGUAGGGAAAUAUAGGCUAAGUGACUCAAAAUAAUUAAGAACACCAACCUUAUAACUUCACAAAUCUAGUAUGGAAUAAAUUCCAUCUUCCUCCCAACUAUAUCAUCAUAAUCAACAAAACUCAAGGGAUUUAAUCAUCACAAAACAGAACUAAACACUCUUUUAUGCUCUCCAUUUAUUUCCAACAAACAAAGUCGAUUUUCUAACAAAUUUCUCUAUAUACACUCGACUUCACACUUUUUUUCUUUUUCUUUUUCUUUUUCUUUUUUUUUUCUUCUCUUUUUUUUUUUUUACUUCUUUUUUUUUCUUUUCUUUCCACAACUUUUCUAGAGCUUAUAAGAGUAAAUAGUAUCAUAAUAUCAUCCCUUCUUUUUCAUGAACCACUAUGAUAUUCACCACAUAAGGAUCCCCAUAUACUACAUCACCCCCUAUCAUCCGGCUAAAGAAUAAAAGCUAAUUAGGCUCAAAGUGGAUAACAAAGGAUAAUUUUUCAAGGACAGUGUUUGGGAAAAUAAUGUGGCUAACAAAAGAUAGCCUAAAAUCAUCUCCUAAUCCUGGGCACAACAGCAACCUCGACACAGAAACCAUGGCAAGUUCUAGAAGAUCACCACAU